GAAUUCGCCCUUAGAGUUUGAUCCUGGCUCAGGACGAACGCUGGCGGCGUGCCUAACACAUGCAAGUCGAACGGAACUGCAAUGAACAAGACUUCGGUCAAGUGAGUUGUACGUUUAGUGGCGGACGGGUGAGUAACGCGUGAGCAAUCUGCCUUUCAGAGGGGGAUAACAUUCUGAAAAGAAUGCUAAUACCGCAUAAAGUGCACAGUUGGCAUCGACAGUGCACCAAAGGAGUAAUCCGCUGAAAGAUGAGCUCGCGUCCGAUUAGAUAGUUGGCGGGGUAACGGCCCACCAAGUCGACGAUCAGUAGCCGGUCUGAGAGGAUGAACGGCCACAUUGGGACUGAGAUACGGCCCAGACUCCUACGGGAGGCAGCAGUGGGGAAUAUUGGGCAAUGGGGGAAACCCUGACCCAGCAACGCCGCGUGAAGGAAGAACGCCCUCGGGUUGUAAACUUCUUUUACCAGGGACGAAGGACGUGACGGUACCUGGAGAAAAAGCAACGGCUAACUACGUGCCAGCAGCCGCGGUAAUACGUAGGUUGCAAGCGUUGUCCGGAUUUACUGGGUGUAAAGGGCGUGUAGGCGGAGAUGCAAGUUGGGAAUGAAAUCCCCGGGCCUCAACCCCGGAACUGCUUUUCAAACUGUAUCCCUUGAGUAUCGGAGAGGCAAGCGGAAUUCCUAGUGUAGCGGUGAAAUGCGAAAAUAUUAGGAAGAACACCAGUGGGGAAGGGCGGUUUGGCUGAACAACAACUGAACGCUGAAGGCCAAAAAGGGGGGGGAAGCAAACAAGAUUAAAAUACCCCUGGUAACCCCCCGCUGUAAAAAAAAAAAAUACAAGGGGGGGGGGAAGGACUGCCCCC
rnacentral:rRNA from 1 species